CCUUGCUACUUCUUGGAUAGUUCCUGUCAAUAUUGCUACUGCCUGUUCUAUGUGUUCGGGAGUUUUCAAUGGGAUUGAAGUUUAUUUUGCUUUCAAUUAUUUCUUUGAAAGUUUGCCGUUUGGUGGUUUUAUUGCAUAGUGUCUCUGGAUUGCUACAAAGAAAAAACGGUUUGCAGUUUCGUGUUUAGUCCACAGGUGUACGAGAAUCGUCUACUGAAG
rnacentral:misc_RNA from 1 species